rnacentral:lncRNA from 1 species
UUAUUGAGAAGCUUGUGGAAUGUAGGCGUAAGUGUAUUGGAUAAUUAAAGUUUUGAUAUUCUGAUAUUGUUGGAACUACUUGAAGAAUUUAACAUUUGGUAAUUAUGAGACAACUUCUACAAGAACCGGCUGAUACCCUGAAAAAAAACCUGUCAGAGCCUUCCCUAGAGGCUACACCACAUUGUCACAUUAAUUUAGAAGAGACACAAGAUUCAAAGAAGGAAUUAGUUUGAUGAUCUCACAGCAGAAUUGGAAGCUGUAUCUUUACAAUGUGUCUAUUUGGCUGAAAACAAUCAAGUUACUCAACAGGAGUUAUCUAUGAAAAAAGUACAACAGGAAUGUGAAAAACUUGAGGAAAAUAAAAAGAUGUUGGAAGAAGGAAUAGUAAAUCUUAUGACACAUAUGGAAAAAUAUGGUAGAACUUGGUAAAGUACAAGAAUAUAAAUUGGAGCUAGAAGAAAAAGCAAUGCCAGCAAUAGAAAAAAAAUAGAAGAAAUCCAUUAACACGUUAGUUUUUAAAGUCAGCCCUGGAAUGAGUGAUUGUUCUUAGAAGCAGAGGUGGAGCCACCGAGGAAGCACAGGAUGAGCAUUCCGCAGCUUGCACUUACUGGUCCCCAGUAGGAAGAACCACUGCUGCAUCC